rnacentral:rRNA from 1 species
AUUGAACGCUGGCGGCAGGCCUAACACAUGCAAGUCGAACGAGUGGCGGACGGGUGAGUAAUGUCUGGGAAACUGCCCGAUGGAGGGGGCUAACUACUGGAAACGGUAGCUAAUACCGCAUACCAUCGGAUGUGCCCAGAUGGGAUUAGCUAGUAGGUGGGGUAACGGCUCACCUCGGCGACGAUCCCUAGCUGGUCUGAGAGGAUGACCAGCCCCACUGGAACUGAGACACGGUCCAGACUCCUACGGAGGGCAGCAGUGGGGAAUAUUGGACAAUGAGCGCAAGCCUGAUGCAGCCAGGCGGCGUGUAUGAAGAAGGCCUUGGGGUUGUAAAGUCCUUUAAGCGAGGAGGCGUUACUCGCAGAGGAAGCACCGGCUAACUCCGUGCCAGCAGCCGCGGUAAUAC